rnacentral:rRNA from 1 species
UACGUAGGGUGCGAGCGUUGUCCGGAAUUAUUGGGCGUAAAGAGCUCGUAGGCGGUGUGUCGCGUCGGCCGUGAAAACCUGCAGCUUAACUGUGGGCUUGCGGUCGAUACGGGCAUCACUGGAGUUCGGCAGGGGAGACUGGAAUUCCUGGUGUAGCGGUGAAAUGCGCAGAUAUCAGGAGGAACACCGGUGGCGAAGGCGGGUCUCUGGGCUGAAACUGACGCUCAUGCACGAAAGCGUGGGGAGCAAACAGG